UUAAGAGAAAAAGAAAGGCCGUGCGUGCGGCCGUUGCGCCGUUCGUGCGGCAUAUGGCGUUCGUCGCCUGAAAAACUCUAGUGUGUUGUACUUCUUCUUCUACCUCCGUUCGAGAGAGAGAGGGAGAGAGAGAGGUUCGUCCGGCGUUCGUGUCGCCGGAAGGCUGCUCGGCGUAUGUCGUCGGAGGGUUUGUCCCAACAUGCGUUCCCCUCUCCUCUAGAUCGGUAACCCCUAUCGGCCUCAUGUACCUAGCACGAGAUGAAAGAGGGAUUUAGAGAAGGGAGGAAGCAGGAGAAGAAGAGGAAGCCAACCAGGUCCGGUUUUGAUCUGGUGGACAGGGUCAGUUGCUCCUCUGGUGGACAGGGUCAAUUGCUCCGAUUUGGACUAGCAGCAGCAGCUGCUGCUGCAGGUGGACGAGGCAUGAGCCCUCAUGGCUCCUCCCUCCUCCUACCCCUGAUGUGGUGAGCUCCACCCCUUCAGGAUUUAUCUUUUUUCUCAUCGUGUGGUAUUCUUUAUUUUUGCAAGGAAGUGCUCCAAUGGAAUCACAUCUCAAAUUGGAGGUGUGCAACCAUCUACUGUUGUUGAUUUUAUAGUGUAAUUUGGCCCAAACAGUCAUGAAGGUUUAGUUCAUAAUGACCUUCUACUUCCAUGUUUCUGAUUUAUUGAUUUUGUUCAUACGUUAAUCAUAUUACAGUUGGUUUCUACACUCUUAAAUGGGUUUUAGGACUUGCUCAUAUAUUUAUGUCUAGCUAGGUUCCUGCAAAUUGGGUUUAAUAGAUGUCUAGAUCUAGCUAGGCUCCAAUAGAGUAGAUUCUUUUGCUGUCCUUUUAGGUUUGUUGGCUACCUUGGCUGUUUUUGCAUGGAAGUCUAUUUGUUCCUAUCCAAUAGAUGUUCAUAUCUAGCUAGAUUUCAAGGAUGUUUUGUUGUCUUUCUUAAUUUGUUUGGUACCUUAUUUUUCUUUGGCGUUGAUGGGGGCGGAUUUAUCAUAUAGUUCUUUUGCUAUUUGCAGAGAAAUCUUUUGUUCCUUUUCUUGAUAUAUAUAGAUAAACCAAAACUGCUCCUUUUAGGCUAUCUAAGGGUCUGAAGUGACUAACAUUGUAAUUAGCGUAUGUAAGUAUUUAUGCUACAAUGCUCCCAUUUUUUUCCAAUCAUAGCUCUUGCUCCAAGAUGCACUUUCAAAGAGGUGGUUGAGGCAGAGGUUGUUCUGCUGUGCCACUGAACGUUGUAGUGUCGGGCUGCAACCGUUUUCUUGUUUUGUAUUCUUACUAUUCUGCCUCCCCAUUUGAAGCUGCUUGAAUCUAGGGUGAUUCUUCUUUUUGUUUACAUCGUAAGCUCUUUUGCCAUAAGUUGACUAUGGUUUUUAUGUAUGUGUAAAUGUAGGUUAACCACAUCUGCUAGGAUGGCUUUAUUUUUCUUUUCUGGUGGGGAAUGCAAGGAUCGGGUGGUCAUCUCUCUCAUAACUCAUAAGCACAAUAUGUCACUGGAAACAUCACGGUUAUUUCUAAUGCACCAUUUUCCUGGCUUUCAUGGGGUUUGAUGUAAAUCGGUUAAUGGCUAUGUGACAAUAUAUGUCUGCCGAAUGUGUUAUUUGCUCGGGAAAGCUUCUUACAUCAUAAACUAUUCAAACUGAUGUUAUGCCUCCUGAAGCACCUUACAUUGUUAAAUUUACAUAAGAGAUUCUGGUUAGGUAACAUGGACAUACUAAUUGGAUUUUCCAAGCAUCAUUUGCAUUGUUGUUUCGUUAUUUUGAAUGGCAGACAUUUGCUUAAAUUUAUGAUGUUACCUCUAAUCCUUAUUGUUAUAGUUAAUAUGUUUCUAUUUUUGGACUGAUUGAUCUCGAUUGAGGAAACACAAGGUAAAGAGCAGCUAAGUCCUAAAUGGUAGAUAGGGUGCGAUUUAUCUCUGUUAGUUUUUCAAUCAACAACUUAAACCAACAUUCGAUAUUAGUCAAUCUGAGUGCAGGCUGAAUGUGGAAGUUGAUGAACAUGGUCAUUCUUGUUGUUCAAAGUACAUAAGCGAUCACCAUUGAGGUCAACCUAUAAUCAUGUCUGUAAUGCAAGUGCUUGCGUAAUUAGACAGUACACAUGGGAAAAUAAUUCACCCAUACAUGUAUUCCAUUUAUAUUAGAUAGUAGAUAUGAAUAUUGCUUCUUUAUAGUCAAGUGUCAGUAUUUGAUUAUCCGGGUAUUAAUAGGAAUUCUAGCCACAAGAUUUUCUUCACCAAGAUGUAUAUAGACACAACUUUCUAGAAAGCUAAAAUAAGUAGUAUGUUCAGGAAGCUAGCUUACAAGAAUUUCGUUUUUGGUUUUAUGCCAAUCUCGGUUGGUGAAUUUUUUUAAGGCGCGUUCUUAUAAUUUUUACGGUCUUUGUAAGCUUGGAUGGUCUGUUAAUUUACUUCCUUCAUCCUCCCUCCUGGUGCUAACACUUAAGUAAUACUGUUUGUAUUGUUCAGCAAAUUCAGUGGUGUACUAUUUAGUAACGAUAGGAUCGGUCAUUUAUGAUGAUGUGCAAUGGUUGAUAAUGAUAGUAGAAUAGUAAAAAAACAGUUAUGUUAAAGGUCCGAGCUUAAACUUGGUUAUAAUAGGAUCAUGGAAAACAGUUAAAUCUUAUUUUUUUUAAAUUAAAUCUGAGCAUUUUGCUUGAUUAUCCAAAUCCAGAGCUUUUAUCGGCUCUUUAGCAAUCUGUUGGGAACAACUUUCUUUGUAACAUCCAGUCAUGUUUCGUUUUCUAUUCAUACAUAUACUUCAUACGAAGCUGCACGUGUGCUAUAGCAUUUCGUAUAUCUGCUAAUUUAUAGCUUGUAUUUUCUUUAGUACUAGAAAAGAUAAACCUGAGACAUUAUUCUUAUGUUUGUCCACAUCACAACUUUGCAUUCAACUACUUCGCUUAAACUGAUCAAGAUACAAGUUUGCUUUUAAGAGCCUGAAGUGUUGAAUCUUUAAUCUUAGUAGACCCAUAUAAAUGAUUAUGUUUGUUUUUGUUUUCAAAAGGCAGAUCUUUGGUACUGGAAAUGUGGUUCAGGACCUUAAAAAUGUUGAUAUGCUGAAGCAAAAUAAAAUUUUCAUUGAUGUACUGAUGGUGGUGAUAGCAUAUUAGAAUUACAGGAAAUGCCCUGUUGUGACUGACUAUCAUGUGUAGUGUUCUUUAGAUGUGCACUAUAUCAGUAUCGAGGUUCAUAAGAUGAAAGUCAGUGUUGAUGCACCACCAUAUCUCCUUUUGUUCUCUUUCUCUUGACAUGUUUCUAUUCCACACGAAUACACAAGGGAGUCGUCUUAUCUGCUAUCUCAUCUCAAAGAUUGCUCAAGUGUAGAGUGGAUGGGAAAGAUAUUUGCUGGGUAGCUUUGUUCCUCGAAGGAUUAUUUGCCCAUUAGUGUACUUUUGUAUUGUUUAGUUUUCUUGGAACACAUUGUGUGAGACUUUGUUCAGUCAGCCAGCUAUUAGCAAAGCAAGCCUUUGUGCCCAUGACAUUUUUCUUCCAGAAGAUAUGCAACUGGUUCUUGCCCUGCAUCGGACAGUCUCCUGUUAAGACAGAAUAAGAAUAACACCACAUACUUCCUAUUUUUCUAUGAAUUUAGUACAAUUAUCAAUGUGUGACCAGCUUCUGAUUGUGCACUAUCUGAUGUAAUGUGUGACCAAUUGGUUAGGUUAUAGUAAAAUGUUGGCAAUUACAUCUCUGCAUAUUUAACAUUCAUAUAAAUGUAUUUCAAUUUCUUCUCAAGAGAAUUGUUAAUUCCAUCUUAUCCAUAUUGUUUUGAAUCAGAAUGAUCGAAUCACUUGACGAUGGUUUACAGGACGCUUAUAUAUCUCCUGGAGAGACACGACGAUCCAGAGGAGGCGUCGGUUCCAGAGAGAUGCGUCGGUUGCCGGGACACAGGCGUCCGCGGAUGCAACCGCUUGGCCGUUGGGCAAGGGGAGAUUUCCCUUUUACAAAAUUAAUCUCAACACUCCCCCUAAUCUACGCUUGACCAUGUAGAUCGUCUUCACGAUUGUCCGGGAAGCUCUAUCAUCUCAAAAUAUUCUCCUUCAAAAGUUCUUCAUAAAAUCUUUGAUGAGAUCCUGAAACAUAUACUCACAAAGAAAAUAGCAUAAUGUGAUGUCAUUAAAAUGAGGAUAUCUCAAGAAGAGACUCCCCCUGACACCUGCAAGUCCCUAAGUCUUCGCAUACCAAUUCCAUGAACACAUUUCUGGAAUGUAGAAUGUGGUAGAGACUUGGUAAAUAAAUCAGCAAGGU